UGUAGUCAUAUGCUUGUCUCAAAGAUUAAGCCAUGCAUGUCUAAGUAUAAGCAAUUAUACCGCGAAACUGCGAAUGGCUCAUUAUAUAAGUCAUCGUUUAUUUGUUAGUACCUUACUACUUGGAUAACCGUGGUAAUUCUAGAGCUAAUACAUGCUAAAAAUCCCGACUUCGGAAGGGAUGUAUUUAUUAGAUUAAAAACCAAUGCCCUUCGGGGCUCACUGGUGAUUCUUGAUAACUCCUCGAAUCGCAUGGCCUUGUGCCGGCGAUGGUUCAUUCAAAUUUCUUCCCUAUCAACUUUCGAUGUUUGGGUAUUGGCAAACAUGGUUGCAACGGGUAACGGAGGGUUAGGGCUCGACCCCGGAGAAGGAGCCUGAGAAACGGCUACUACAUCCAAGGAAGGCAGCAGGCGCGCAAAUUACCCAAUCCCGACACGGGGAGGUAGUGACAAUAAAUACUGAUACAGGGCUCUUUUGGGUCUUGUAAUUGGAAUGAGUACAAU
rnacentral:rRNA from 1 species